rnacentral:lncRNA from 1 species
CUCCCACAAACUCAAUCUCCCUAUCAGGCGGCAUACCUGAUAGCUCCGCUGUAAACACAUCACAAAACUCCCGUACCACCGGAAUAUCCUCAAUCCUAGGGCUAUCAUCAUUAUCCCUCAACACCACACUAACCAUAUAGGCUACACAACCCUUGCUGAUCAACUGUCUAGCUCGAGACGAGCUGAUCGUCAUGGCAAACAGCGAACUCUGACAUCCUCUAAAAAUCACUUCCUCCUGCCCCGGUUCUCUAAACGUGACCGUUCGAUUCUUGCAAUCGACAGUGGCGAAGUAUCUCAU